AGGAUUCCCCUAGUAACGGCGAGUGAAGAGGGAAAAGCUCAAAUUUAAAAUCUGGCGGUCUACGGCCGUCCGAGUUGUAAUCUAGAGAAGUGUUUUCCGCGCUGGACCGUGUACAAGUCCUUUGGAACAAGGCGUCAUAGAGGGUGAGAAUCCCGUCUACGACACGGACUGCCAAGCGCUUUGUGAUACACUCUCAACGAGUCGAGUUGUUUGGGAAUGCAGCUCAAAAUGGGUGGUAAAUUCCAUCUAAAGCUAAAUAUUGGCGAAAGACCGAUAGCGAACAAGUACCGUGAGGGAAAGAUGAAAAGCACUUUGGAAAGAGAGUUAAACAGUACGUGAAAUUGUUGAAAGGGAAACGCUUGAAGUCAGUCGCGUCUUCAGAAAUUCAGCUAGGCUUCUGCCUAGUGUACUUUUCUGUGGGACGGGCCAGCAUCAGUUUUGGCUGCCAGAAAAAGGUCGGAGGAAGGUGGCACCUCCGGGUGUGUUAUAGCCUCUGAUCGUAUGUGGCAGCCGGGAUUGAGGACCGCAGCACGCCUUUAUGGCCGGGGUUCGCCCACGUAACGUGCUUAGGAUGCUGGCGUAAUGGCUUUAAACGACCCGUCUUGAAACACGGACCAAGGAGUCUAACAUGCCUGCGAGUAUUUGGGUGGCAAACCCAUAUGCGGAAUGAAAGUGAACAGUUGGGACUUCUGUCAUGGAAGGCACCGACGCCCGGGACCAGACCUAUUGUGACGGAUCCGAGGUAGAGCAUGUAUGUUGGGACCCGAAAGAUGGUGAACUAUGCCUGAGUAGGGUGAAGCCAGAGGAAACUCUGGUGGAGGCUCGUAGCGAUUCUGACGUGCAAAUCGAUCGUCGAACUUGGGUAUAGGGGCGAAAGACUA
rnacentral:rRNA from 1 species